rnacentral:rRNA from 1 species
GACGAACGCUGGCGGCGUGCUUAACACAUGCAAGUCGAGCGGUAAGGCCCUUUCGGGGGUACGACGAGCGGCGAACGGGUGAGUAACACGUGGGUGACCUGCCCUUACGCUCUGGGAUAAGCCUGGGAAACUGGGUCUAAUACCGGAUAUGACUCCAUGACGCAUGUUGUGGGGUGGAAAGCCUUGUGCGGCUAGGGAUGGGCCCGCGGCCUAUCAGCUUGUUGGUGGGGUGAUGGCCUACCAAGGCGACGACGGGUAGCCGGCCUGAGAGGGCGACCGGCCACACUGGGACUGAGACACGGCCCAGACUCCUACGGGAGGCAGCAGUGGGGAAUCUUGCGCAAUGGGCGAAAGCCUGACGCAGCGACGCCGCGUGAGGGAUGACGG